rnacentral:rRNA from 1 species
AACGAACGCUGGCGGCAUGCCUAACACAUGCAAGUCGAACGAGACCUUCGGGUCUAGUGGCGCACGGGUGCGUAACGCGUGGGAACCUGCCCUUAGGUUCGGAAUAACUCCCCGAAAGGGGUGCUAAUACCGGAUAAUGUCUUCGGACCAAAGAUUUAUCGCCUUUGGUUGGGCCCGCGUUGGAUUAGCUGGUUGGUAGGGUAAAAGCCUACCAAGGCGACGAUCCAUAGAUGGUCUGAGAGGAUGAUCAGCCACACUGGGACUGAGACACGGCCCAGACUCCUAGGGGAGGCAGCAGUGGGGAAUAUUGGACAAUGGGCGAAAGCCUGAUCCAGCAAUGCCGCGUGAGUGAUGAAGGCCUUAGGGUUGUAAAGCUCUUUUACCCGGGAUGAUAAUGACAGUACCGGGAGAAUAAGCUCCGGCUAACUCCGUG